rnacentral:rRNA from 1 species
GGACUACCAGGGUAUCUAAUCCCGUUUGCUCCCCACGCUUUCGCGCCUCAGCGUCAGGAAAUGCCCAGAGACCCGCCUUCGCCACCGGUGUUCCUCCCGAUCUCUACACAUUUCACCGCUACACCGGGAAUUCCAGUCUCCUCUGCAUCCCUCAAGAACGGCAGUAUCGGCCGACCCCCCUCAGUUGAGCCGAGGGAUUUCACGACCGACUUGCCAUCCCGCCUACGCGCCCUUUACGCCCAGUGAUUCCGAGCAACGCUUGCCCCCUCUGUCUUACCGCGGCUGCUGGCAC